CAAUAGCGUAUAUUAAUGUUGUUGCGGUAAAAAAGCUCGUAGUUGGAUUUCUACCGAAGAUAGCCGGUCGGGUCUUCGACCUUGUAUCUGGUUUUGUCUUUGGUAUCCUCAUAGGGAACGUUUCUGCGCUUUAUUGCGUGGUGCGGUAUCUAUGACUUUUACUUUGAGGAAAUUAGAGUGUUCACGGCAGGCAAACGCCUUGAAUAUAUUAGCAUGGAAUAAUAACAUAGGAUCUUCGUCCUAUUUUGUUGGUUUCUAGGGCUAAGAUAAUGAUUAAUAGGGAUAAUUGGGGGCAUCUGUAUCAACGCGUCAGAGGUGGAAUUCUUGGAUUGCGUUGCGACAAACUACUGCGAAAGCAUUUGCCAAGGAUGUUUUCAUUGA
rnacentral:rRNA from 1 species